rnacentral:lncRNA from 1 species
AUGAAAUAAGGAAAAUCAAAAGAAGGAAUAAAAGAAUUAUGUUUGAAUAAGAAGUAUUUCUACCAGUAAAGUUUAUUUGGGGGUGUAUAUUGACUUUAAUAACGCAUGACAUACAAUUUGGAGUAGACAUUUGACCCUUCAAAACUGUCUAAUCCCGAAUUAGGCUGCACCUUUCAAUCAAAUCAAAUCGUCCUUCUUGAUCUUUGUUCUAUCAUGAUAAACUUUGUCUGACUAAAGUUAUUCCUUCUAGGAUCUUCUCAAUUGCCCUCUCUGAUUUCGGUUGUCUCGUUCAUCAUUGU